CUGGAGCCUGGAGGUGGCAGCGACUUGGGAGCCGCGUGGGCCUGUCUGUUCCACACACUGCCUUCUUGCCCCUUCCUUCAACCUAUGGCCCCCUCAGAGGACAACCUUUUUCCUUAAACUCCUCGGACGAGGUUCCUGUGGCAGCCGAGAGAGUCACGCAGCGGGGGUGCCUUCCCCGCCUGUGGGGGAGCCCCAGGCGGCCCGCACAGUCUCGUGGUGGUCGGGCCUGGCCACGUGUGCUCCUCGG
rnacentral:lncRNA from 1 species